UAGGGAAUCUUCGGCAAUGGACGAAAGUCUGACCGAGCAACGCCGCGUGAGUGAAGAAGGUUUUCGGAUCGUAAAACUCUGUUGGUAGAGAAGAACGUUGGUGAGAGUGGAAAGCUCAUCAAGUGACGGUAACUACCCAGAAAGGGACGGCUAACUACGUGCCAGCAGCCGCGGUAAUACGUAGGUCCCGAGCGUUGUCCGGAUUUAUUGGGCGUAAAGCGAGCGCAGGUGGUUUAUUAAGUCUGGUGUAAAAGGCAGUGGCUCAACCAUUGUAUGCAUUGGAAACUGGUAGACUUGAGUGCAGGAGAGGAGAGUGGAAUUCCAUGUGUAGCGGUGAAAUGCGUAGAUAUAUGGAGGAACACCGGUGGCGAAAGCGGCUCUCUGGCCUGUAACUGACACUGAGGCUCGAAAGCGUGGGGAGCAAACAGGAUUA
rnacentral:rRNA from 1 species